rnacentral:rRNA from 1 species
GACGGAGGGUGCUAGCGUUGUUCGGAAUCACUGGGCGUAAAGGGCGCGUAGGCGGCCCAUGCAGUCGGUUGGUGAAAGCCCGGGGCUCAACCCCGGAGGUGCGGCCGAAACACAUGGGCUGGAGGCCGGAAGAGGAGGGUGGAAUACCCAGUGUAGAGGUGAAAUUCGUAGAUAUUGGGUGGAACACCGGUGGCGAAAGCGGCUCUCUGGUCCGGACCUGACGCUGAGACACGAAAGCCAGGGGAGCGAACGGG